rnacentral:tRNA from 1 species
GCCGGUGUAGCUUAAAAGUAGAGCGGUUACGUAGUUUGUAACAGAUGGGGGUUCGAAUCCUUUCACCGGCU